CUCUGCACCUUAUUUUCCCACGCGGGACGCCUUUUCCCUCUCUCUCUCUCUCUCUCUCUCUCUCUCUCCCAGGUUCAACAUGGGACUUUCCGGUGAAAAUAGCGCCGCCUUCUUAUCGCCGUCUUGUCGCCGCAGUCAUCUCGCCGUCUUGCCGCCCCCGUCUUGUUGCCGCAGUCCAACUUUAUGAAGGUAGAGGCGACCAGUUGUUUGAUUUGGAGGCCUUAAAAUAAUGGGUUGGUGACUAGUUUUUUUAUCAGACUUGAGUCCUUGUUUUCUCACAUUUUACAAGCUCUAUCUAUGGCUAGUUAUAAUUGAUCGGUGCAAAACUGCAAGUGCACAGUAUCGUAAUUUUAUAAUAAAGUGAUAAGAAGAGAAUCGUCCUCA